rnacentral:ncRNA from 1 species
UAACAAGUUUAAUCCUGACUUUAAUAUUAACUAUUUCUUAACUUACACAUGCAAGUCUCAGCACUCCAGUGAAAACGCCCUUUAAACCUAUAAAAGGAUAAGGAGCUGGCAUCAGGCACAGAAUCCUUGCCCAUAACGCCUAGUUUCACCACGCCUCCAAAGGUAGUCAGCAGUGAUCAACAUUGUCCAUAGGCGAAAGCCCGAGUCAGUUAAAGAAAAGAGAGUUGGCCAACCCGGUGCCAGCCGCCGCGGCCAUACCGGUGGACUCAAGUUAAUGCCAACCGGCGUAAAGCGUGAUUAAAGAAUUACUAAAUUAGAGUUGAAGUGUGGCUUAGCUGUUGAAAGCUUACCUAAUAGAACCCCAGAAACGAAAGUUACUCUAAUUAACCUCUUGAAUACACGACAGUUUGGGCACAAACUGGGAUUAGAUACCCCACUAUGCCACACCGUAAAUUUGAACUACACUUAAAACGCCAGGGUACUACGAGCCGAGCUUAAAACCCAAAGGAUUUGACGGUGUUCCACCCAACUAGAGGAGCCUGUUCUAUAAUCGAUGAUCCACGAUAUACCUAACCAUUUUUUGCUAUUCAGCCUGUAUACCUCCGUCGUAAGCUUACCGCUUGAGUGAGGAAAAGUAAGCAAAAGGGCCUAAGGCCAAAACGUCAGGUCAAGGUGCAGCUUAUAAAAUGGAAGAAAUGAGCUACAAUUUCUAAUUUAGAAUACACGAAUUACUGCAUGAAACAAAGUCAUGAAGGUGGAUUUAGCAGUAAGUGAGGAAUAGAGAGCCUCACUUAAUUCGGCCCUGGAACGCGUACAAACCGCCCGUCACCCUCUUCGAUAGCUUAAUUAAUAGUUAAAUAACCUAUUCACCGCGUUUUAGAAGAGGCAAGUCGUAACAUGGUAAGCAUACUGGAAAGUGUUCUUGGAAUAA